rnacentral:rRNA from 1 species
CCUACGGGCGGCAGCAGUGGGGAAUAUUGGACAAUGGGGGCAACCCUGAUCCAGCCAUGCCGCGUGUGUGAAGAAGGCCCUCGGGUUUUAAAGCACUUUCAGUGAGGAAGAACGCCUGGUGGUUAAUACCCAUCAGGAAAGACAUCACUCACAGAAGAAGCACCGGCUAACUCCGUGCCAGCAGCCGCGGUAAUACGGAGGGUGCGAGCGUUAAUCGGAAUUACUGGGCGUAAAGCGCGCGUAGGUGGCUUGAUAAGCCGGUUGUGAAAGCCCCGGGAUCAACCUGGGAACGGCAUCCGGAACUGUCAAGCUAGAGGGCCGGAGAGGAAGGUAGAAUUCCCGGUGUAGCGGUGAAAUGCGUAGAGAUCGGGAGGAAUACCAGUGGCGAAGGCGGCCUUCUGGACUGACACUGACACUGAGGUGCGAAAGCGUGGGUAGCAAACAGGAUUAGAUACCCGUGUAGGC